GACGAACGCUGGCGGCGUGCUUAACACAUGCAAGUCGAACGGAAAGGCCCUGCUUUUGUGGGGUGCUCGAGUGGCGAACGGGUGAGUAACACGUGAGUAACCUGCCCUUGACUUUGGGAUAACUUCAGGAAACUUGGGCUAAUACCGGAUAGGAGCUCCUGCUGCAUGGUGGGGGUUGGAAAGUUUCGGCGGUUGGGGAUGUACUCGCGGCUUAUCAGCUUGUUGGUGGGGUAGUGGCUUACCAAGGCUUUGACGGGUAGCCGGCCUGAGAGGGUGACCGGCCACAUUGAGAAGGAGAGACGGCACAGACAAAUACGGGAGGCAGCAGUGGGGAAUAAUGCACAAUGGACGGAAGCAAGAUGCAGCAACGCCGCGUGCGGGAUGACGGCAUUCGGGUUGUAAACCGAUUUCGCCUGUGACGAAGCGUGAGUGACGGAAAUGGGUAAAGAAGCACCGGCUAACUACGU
rnacentral:rRNA from 1 species